rnacentral:rRNA from 1 species
GUGCCAGCGCGGUAAUACGUAGGCAGCGAGCGUUGUUCGGAAUUACUGGGCGUAAAGAGUGUGUAGGCGGUGCUCUAAGUUCGGUGUGAAAUCUCCCGCUUAACUGGGAGGGUGCGCCGGAAACUGGAGUGCUCGAGCGUGGGAGAGGAAAGCGGAAUCCUGGUGUAGCGGUGAAAUGCGUAGAUAUCAGGAGGAACACCUGCGGUGUAGACGGCUUUCUGGACCAUUGCUGACGCUGAGACACGAAAGCGUGGGUAGCAAACAGG